rnacentral:lncRNA from 1 species
AGAUUCACACUUGGGAGAGGGGCCCGGCCUCCAGGAGCGCCAGGCAGAAAGGGCACCCAUUAGGAAGAAGAACACAGAGGCCAUGGGAGUGAAAAGUUUGAUGCUGGAAAGCAACAGUAGCACAUUCUGCUACAGAGCGGAAUGAAAAACCCUGGGGAGCAAAUUCCUGAGCCAGAGAAUGGAGCGGAGGAACCAGCCAAGGAGGAUAAAGAGGUGGGAACAGGCAAGAAAACCUGGACCUGCGUGCUCUGAGGCUGCCCGACCCUGAGCUCCAGAACAGACCAUCGAGUUCAGGAGACAAGCAUGUCAGCCAUGACACAAGGCAGAUGAGAGGGACCCCCAGCGUCCACACGUGGAGGCAGCGGGGGCAGCCGAUCCAUACAAACAGGCUGACCAUCAGGGCUGGUCCCAGGCCACCAGGCUGGGUGCAAUGCAGAAAUGGAGAUCUGCCCCGGGGAAGGCAGGUGAGUGUAGGAAGGAGGGAGGGCUGCGAGAAGCUGGGGGCAGCCUCCAUCCCCCUGUGGCCUGGGUGGGCCUGUGCCCCCCCAA